GUUUGUUCUUCAAACAGAACAGCAUUGCAAGAAGUAUGCUUAUGCACAGAAAACAGAAACAUUAGAAAGGCAACACAUUUAAAGCAGGUGCAAAAUGGCUGCAUCAGCCUGAAAUCUACUUAGAUCCUUCACCUAAAAGAUCCAGUCAACCUCUGCCUGACCCAACUUCAGCUUCCAUGGCUCUUAAAACCAAGGGCAAAUCAAGAUGCUUACUUUGCAUCUUACUCUAAUCCUGCAGAUUAGAUGACAGCUUCUCCAGUGGCCACAGCACUUAGAAAUCAGGACACCCAUCCUAUUACCAGAAAGGAAGCCCAUGGCUGUAGAGUGCUUUGAGAACAGCUGCCUGGAACAAGAACAUCGCUCACAUUAUUCUCUCAGCCCCCAGCUGGAGUGAGAGGAAAAUGUAGAAAGAAACCUGAUAAGAUUCAACAAGGACAAGUGCAGAGCCCUGCACUUGGGAUGGAAGAAACCUAAGCACUGUUACA